rnacentral:lncRNA from 1 species
GGGACAUAUGGUGCCGAAACCCAGAAAAAACGCCUCACCAUCGCCGGCGCCGAGGAGAGCCUCCGUUCGCGGAGAGGGUCCAGAACUGCAGGAAUUUGGUUUCAACACGUUGAUGGACUAGUCCAGGAAUUGAGACAAUCCACCGUCCAUAUCAACUCCACUCGAGUGGAUGGUCACCGUGGAAGUGGUGGGAAAGGGGAAAUCCUACCUCUCUGCUGACUCCUUUUGGAAUCUGGGUCCCUUUGG